CCACAAAUAGCUCAGUUGCUUAGAGUGUGGUGCUGAUAAUGCCAUGGUUGCAAGUUCAAUCCCUUUAUGGG